rnacentral:misc_RNA from 1 species
AUGAAUUCCAUAUGAAAAACAAAUGAAUAAUUUGUCAUUGAACGCCAAUUUCACAAAUAGCAUGCUCUAGACAACUUCAUUCUGUCAUCGAAUACAGUUUAAUAUUCCUUGAAGAGUAUAAUACGUAGUUUCAAUCCCUACUUACUUUCCUAAGAUAGGUCUUGACAAACAACUAGCUUGACUGAGGUUGCUCAGUAAUAUGCUUUUCGAGGGUUGUUCAGAGGAUUUGGUCUGUAACGGUAACCAAGCAUCAUUCGCUUCUUAUACUGUUCAUAUAUAUCGUCAUCAGGAGCCACCUCCCCAGGUUGGUGAGCACCAACACCCAAAUUGUCCUUCUUUACAUUACCAGCCAAUAUGGGAUCUGCAAUGCCAUUUCUGGAGCUCCCCAGACCCUCACCUUCUUUCCAACCCAUUUUGGACAGCAAUUUAUGCCCAACAUUAUCAGCCUGGAUUUUUGACCUAUCUGCCGUUUCUCUAGCAGCUCGUUGUGCAGCUACAUCAUUACAGGCAGCCAAGAAUUUCUCAAGCUCUUCUGGUGGAAUGUAGUCACCCAUGUGAUGACCUCUUUUUGAUGGAGCUCCUUGAAGGGAAGGAGGUGGGGGCAUUUCAUCCUUGGACUGUUUAGGCUGUCUCCUUUUCUCUUGUUGAGCAGCCUUUUUCAUGUAGAAUUCCAUCAUUGCUAUGGG